GAACGAACUUCCGUUAAUUGAUUAUGACGUACUUGUACUGAUUGAGAUUUUAACACGAAGUGAGUGGCGAACGGGUGAGUAACACGUGGGUAACCUGCCCAGAAGUAGGGGAUAACACCUGGAAACAGAUGCUAAUACCGUAUAACAGAGAAAACCGCAUGGUUUUCUUUUAAAAGAUGGCUCUGCUAUCACUUCUGGAUGGACCCCCGCGCGGGCGUAUUUUAGCUAGUUUGGUGAGGUAAAGGCUCACCCAAGGCAGUGAUAUCGUAGCCGACCUGAGAGGGUAAUCGGCCACAUUGGGACUGAGACACGGCCCAGACUCCUACGGGAGGCAGCAGUAGGGAAUCUUCCACAAUGGACGCAAGUCUGAUGGAGCAACGCCGCGUGAGUGAAGAAGGGUUUCGGCUCGUAAAGCUCUGUUGUUAAAGAAGAACGUGGGUAAGAGUAACUGUUUACCCAGUGACGGUAUUUAACCAGAAAGCCACGGCUAACUACGUGCCAGCAGCCGCGGUAAUACGUAGGUGGCAAGCGUUAUCCGGAUUUAUUGGGCGUAAAGCGAGCGCAGGCGGUCUUUUAAGUCUAAUGUGAAAGCCUUCGGCUCAACCGAAGAAGUGCAUUGGAAACUGGGAGACUUGAGUGCAGAAGAGGACAGUGGAACUCCAUGUGUAGCGGUGAAAUGCGUAGAUAUAUGGAAGAACACCAGUGGCGAAGGCGGCUGUCUGGUCUGCAACUGACGCUGAGGCUCGAAAGCAUGGGUAGCGAACAGGAUUAGAUACCCUGGUAGUCCAUGCCGUAAACGAUGAUUACUAAGUGUUGGAGGGUUUCCGCCCUUCAGUGCUGCAGCUAACGCAUUAAGUAAUCCGCCUGGGGAGUACGACCGCAAGGUUGAAACUCAAAAGAAUUGACGGGGGCCCGCACAAGCGGUGGAGCAUGUGGUUUAAUUCGAAGCUACGCGAAGAACCUUACCAGGUCUUGACAUCUUCUGACAGUCUAAGAGAUUAGAGGUUCCCUUCGGGGACAGAAUGACAGGUGGUGCAUGGUUGUCGUCAGCUCGUGUCGUGAGAUGUUGGGUUAAGUCCCGCAACGAGCGCAACCCUUAUUACUAGUUGCCAGCAUUAAGUUGGGCACUCUAGUGAGACUGCCGGUGACAAACCGGAGGAAGGUGGGGACGACGUCAAAUCAUCAUGCCCCUUAUGACCUGGGGCUACACACGUGCCUAACAAUGGAUGGUACAAACGAAGUCCCGCCGAGACCGCGAGGUUAAGCUAAUCUCUUAAAACCAUUCUCAGUUCGGACUGUAGGCUGCAACUCGCCUACACGAAGUCGGAAUCGCUAGUAAUCGCGGAUCAGCAUGCCGCGGUGAAUACGUUCCCGGGCCUUGUACACA
rnacentral:rRNA from 1 species